AACGAACGCUGGCGGCAUGCCUAACACAUGCAAGUCGAACGAGACCUUCGGGUCUAGUGGCGCACGGGUGCGUAACGCGUGGGAAUCUGCCCUUUGCUUCGGAAUAACAGUUAGAAAUGACUGCUAAUACCGGAUGAUGUCUUCGGACCAAAGAUUUAUCGGCAAAGGAUGAGCCCGCGUAGGAUUAGGUAGUUGGUGGGGUAAAGGCCUACCAAGCCGACGAUCCUUAGCUGGUCUGAGAGGAUGAUCAGCCACACUGGGACUGAGACACGGCCCAGACUCCUACGGAGGCAGCAGUGGGGAAUAUUGGACAAUGGGCGAAAGCCUGAUCCAGCAAUGCCGCGUGAGUGAUGAA
rnacentral:rRNA from 1 species